UCUAAGCCUCCAGCGAAAACAAGCCUCAUGUCUUUCAUAUUUAGAGCUUCCACGAACCCCACCGACAACUCGCAGGGCCACCACUCCAAGUCUUCAGGCGCCUGCAAAGAUGGGCCACCCGCUGCUGAAGCCACACCAAGAGAAGAUGAAAGGAGAGUCCAACGGGACACCCUGGUGGUGACAUAAAUAAAAAUACGAUUUUACACCACGCCCAGAGCUCAAAAGGACGCGAUGUAAGCGCGUGGUUAUUGUACAAGGACUCUGUGUAAAGCAGCCAUCCUACGUGAACAGAAACUUAAAGACACAGCAAGCUUAGGGCCAGGAGCAGCCCCUGAGCAGAGGGUGGAGUAAGGUGAGCAAGAGUUGUGAGAAGGUAUCGUAAUCCUUAAGAGGAAGUGGUGGACCAGCCCUGCCUGAUGUGGAGAGCGGGGUACACGUGGUUGCCUGUCUGUCUGAAAUGGGGAAUACAGACCUUUGCUAAAAGCCAAAAGAAGGCUUAGAGUGGUCUUUCCACCUUAUAAUUCCAUAGACUCCUAUCUCUGGGACCUGCUGCCUGACAAACGGGGGCAAAAGCCAAAUUCGCUUAGGAACAGCCUCGUUCUCAAUUCCCCUCUUGAACUUGCAGGAAGGACCCUUGUGCCUUAGAGCCGGAGAAGCCUCAAAGAAACAAGUGGAACUGUUUAAAUCAUUGUUUUACAAACACGUUUGACAGCAGAAUCCCAGGUGUGCUCUAGAACUCACUUUGGGCAACACCUACUUCCUGAUUGGGGACUUGAUGGGACCGUUCCACGGCCCUAUCUGGGCCUGGGCUGAGAGUACUUGUAUCUGCGACCGGGAGAACCCAGAUUCUAGCCCAGUCAGUCCGCAAUCAGCCUGGGACCCCAGGUUCCUCCUCUGUGGAGAGGACUGGCCCUCGCCGUGGUGUUUUGCGCUUUCUUCUCCAACAUGCCCUGGAACGUUAAAGCCCCGCCCUCAUCACUGGUUAUUUAGCCAACGCGAUUAUUUAUGAACAGUUCAGCGUAAAGCCCCGCGAUCCCUCUCCAGGCCAUCGUAACAGCUGAACUGAUGGCAGUGAGAGAGGGCUGCAGGUGAGAAGACCUGAGGGAUUUUCAAAGACGAGGAGGAAUCUGAGGCAGGCCUGGAAAGACGGGCUUCUGAACAGGAUCCUUCAAGUUGACUCCAGGGAAAAGGAUACCCAAGUGGGAACUUGGGUCAAGCCUGGGACAGGAAGCACAGCUGGACUGCGUGGAACUGGGGCAUCAUUAGGUGGUUUUCCCCUCCAUUCACCUCUUUCCCGCUGAGACCAAGUUGUCUUUCCUACCUCCCUCUAUAUGUCUGUCCACUCUCCUCCCUGAAGGCCGGCUUCCUCUACUCAUGUAUCACCACACAUGGCUGCCAGCGGCAAGUGCAAAGGACCUUCUGAUUGCCAGCACCCACCACCUUCAGACUGCCUCAGCCUUCCGCUACAUAGUUCAGAUUCCCAGGGAAAUAAACUGAUCGGCUUGGCCUAAUUCAGAAGGAAGAGACACCCAGGACCACAGCUGGAAGACCCUCCAUCUCUUGAGUGAAGAGCCCAGGAUUUUGCAAGUGGAAAGCUCAAGCUAACCACCAAACGUCAAGACAAAAAGAGAGAAAAGCCGGUGUUGAGUGAACACCUCGAAGCAGACCCAAACUUUAGCUGCCUCUCAUUUUGCUCCUGAUGCCAGGAUGCUGAUGAAAUCCACAGA